rnacentral:rRNA from 1 species
UGGCUCAGAACGAACGCUGGCGGCAGGCUUAACACAUGCAAGUCGAGCGAAGCUUUCGGGUUUAGCGGCGGACGGGUGAGUAACGCGUGGGAACAUACCUUUCACUACGGAAUAGCCCCGGGAAACUGGGAGUAAUACCGUAUACGCCCUUUUGGGGAAAGAUUUAUCGGUGAGAGAUUGGCCCGCGUUGGAUUAGGUAGUUGGUGGGGUAAUGGCCCACCAAGCCGACGAUCCAUAGCUGGUUUGAGAGGAUGAUCAGCCACACUGGGACUGAGACACGGCCCAGACUCCUACGGGAGGCAGCAGUGGGGAAUCUUAGACAAUGGGGGCAACCCUGAUCUAGCCAUGCCGCGUGUGUGAUGAAGGCCUUAGGGUCGUAAAGCACUUUCGCCAGGGAUGAUAAUGACAGUACCUGGUAAAGAAACCCCGGCUAACUCCGUGCCAGCAGCCGCGGUAAUACGGAGGGGGUUAGCGUUGUUCGGAAUUACUGGGCGUAAAGCGUACGUAGGCGGAUUAGUCAGUCAGAGGUGAAAUCCCAGGGCUCAACCCUGGAACUGCCUUUGAUACUGCUAGUCUUGAGUUCGAGAGAGGUGAGUGGAAUUCCGAGUGUAGAGGUGAAAUUCGUAGAUAUUCGGAGGAACACCAGUGGCGAAGGCGGCUCACUGGCUCGAUACUGACGCUGAGGUACGAAAGUGUGGGGAGCAAACAGGAUUAGAUACCCUGGUAGUCCACACCGUAAACGAUGAAUGCCAGACGUCGGCAAGCAUGCUUGUCGGUGUCACACCUAACGGAUUAAGCAUUCCGCCUGGGGAGUACGGUCGCAAGAUUAAAACUCAAA